rnacentral:lncRNA from 1 species
GUAGUAAACAUGGACUGAUUUUUGAUCUUUCACAAUGGAUGGGUAGGACAUAAGAGACUCUUCUCUCAAGGUAAGAAUGUCCUACCCAUACAUUGUGAAAGAUCAAAAAUCAGUCCAUGUUUCCUACUUUAGAAAUUAGAAUUAAAUAUACAAAUAUAUAAACUGUUUUAUUAUUUAUUAAAAUAUAAACUUGAGUAAUUAAGUUUCACAAUAUUUAUCUCUAAGGCUUGGUCAUAUUCAAACUUGUCCCGUUCAUUUUUAUAAAAGAAUUAUUUCACUUUUUGAAACGACACUCCAACCUCGUGAUCAAUUCUUACCCAAAUUUAGUUAGUUAAAAAAAAUUUCCGAUGUGAACUGCCAUUAUUUUUGGGUCAAUAUCCAAACCUGACUUUGUCAUCACAAACCUUUGCGGGAUCCCAAAAUUGUUUUCCCAAGAUCUCACUGGACAACAAUUUUCUGGGAAAUGAGAAACCUCAUUACUGAGACACAAAAUUUAUAUUAUAUUUAAGCUAGUUUUGAAAUGGUGUAUUGAUAUUACAUAUUAAUUAUUAUUUUGAUAUUUUAAAGAGAAAUGAUCACAUAUGAAUGACAAAAUUAUAAUUUCGAUAAUACUCAAACCUUUGAGUCAAACCUGAAUUUAUUGUGAUUAAAAAUAUUACGACUUAUAUGGCAAAAUUACGUAACAUGUUCGAUAAGUAUUUACAAAAUAAUGAACUGAUGUCUAUUUUUAGAAAAGAGAAUUAGACGUAGAUGGAGGAUCCAUCCGUCUGUGAGAGUUGAAGAGUAGAAUUCUCCAUCCUAGGAAUCUUCUGUGAACAAUUGAAGUACAUAAUAUUAAUACCUACGAAUCUACCUCACAUUAUAAUUUAUAUGUAAUAAAUAGAAAGUAUUGAUUCAUUCCAACUAGCAUCUCAUAACCAAAGAACACUCGAAAGAGUGCGUGUAUAUGUAAGUGGAUCUUGAACAAAAGAAUAGCAGCAGGAAUAGAUUUCGAUAAAUCGCUCAGAAAACAACACAGUUCCCUCUCUAUUUUCAACCGUCUACUACAUACCUACACAAUCUCUCUUGCUUGGUGUAAUACAUACAAAGUGAAUUACGAUUGUGCUUUUUCCACUUAUUCAUAGUAUUCAUCAUCAAUAUGUUCCAUUGGGGAUACAUGUCAUUCUACAAGUACGACUCAACAUGGGUCUACCGUGAAGUGCUUAUUCUACCAGUAGUUGUAUUGUUCCUAUGGUUUUGUUGGAUGAAGGUCGUGAGAAAUGAACUCAAAGAAGAAAUUGUUUCUUAUACACUACGUGACGGUACAACUAGUAAUCCGGACUCAGAAUAUGAAGUCAUUGAUUCGGAUGGUGAAGGAGUAGCAAAGAAAGAUAAUUACUCAAAAGAGGAGGAGGAGAGUGAAAUGAGUGAAACUACUACUGAUGGUAUCAAAGACAAGGAUCUGUGAUAUGAUCGGAUGAUGGCAUAUUUUAUGUUUUGUAUUUCCUUCUGAAUUCUGAGUUUUUGUAUUGCUCUCGUAUAUUUGAUUAAUUCUAUUAUUAUACCUAAAUUCUUUAACAUAGUAAAUUAAUGUACCACCGUUGGCUUUGACCAUAGGGAUGAUAUUAUGGACUAUUAUUUGGUUUUUUUUUAUUUUUAAUAUUGUUUGUUUUUCUAGACUUUCAUGAUCACUUCCUGCGUCUCAAUCUAUGUACUGUAUAUUAUUACCGAGGUUAUUUCCUAUAGAAUUAACUGGGAGAAAUUUUCUUUCCAACAUCUCGAUCUUAAUAACUUAUACUUUCAUGUUGUUUUGCUUAAGUAAAAUAUAGUCAUUUUUUUUAACUAAAA